UUGUUCCCUGGAGUUCCCUCAGACACUUCAUUAAGUAGGGUUCUAUAAUAUACACUGAAAAUAUAAGCCUUAUCUCUACUGAAGUGUUUGGGGGAACUCUGGGUGGCAC
rnacentral:pre_miRNA from 1 species